rnacentral:rRNA from 1 species
UACGGAGGGUGCGAGCGUUGUCCGGAAUCAUUGGGCGUAAAGGGCGCGUAGGUGGCCCGGUCAGUCCGUGGUGAAAGCGCGGGGCUCAACCCCGCGUCGGCCAUGGAUACUGCUGGGCUGGAGCACUGUAGAGGCAGGCGGAAUUCCGGGUGUAGCGGUGAAAUGCGUAGAUAUUGGGAAGAACACCAGAGGCGAAGGCGGGUUGCUGGGCCGACACUGACGCUGAGGCGCGAAAGCCAGGGGAGCAAACGGG